rnacentral:rRNA from 1 species
UACGGGGGGGGCAAGCGUUGUUCGGAAUUACUGGGCGUAAAGGGCUCGUAGGCGGCCAACUAAGUCGGACGUGAAAUCCCUCGGCUUAACCGGGGAACUGCGUCCGAUACUGGAUGGCUUGAGUGUGGGAGAGGGAUGCGGAAUUCCAGGUGUAGCGGUGAAAUGCGUAGAUAUCAGGAAGAACACCCGUGGCUAAGGCGGCUCUCUAGUACGGUACUGACGCUGAGACGCGAAAAGCGUGGGGGAGCAAAACAGG